GGUAGCGUGGCCCGAGCGGUCUAAGGCGCUGGUUUUUAAGGCACCAGUCUCUUCGGAGGCGUGGGUUCGAAUCCCACCGCUGCCA
rnacentral:tRNA from 1 species